rfam:Aedes albopictus isolate Foshan contig152087, whole genome shotgun sequence.
UGUUUUGUGGCUUAGUUGGUUGAAGCGUCGGACUAGUGAUACGGAGUCGUGGGUUUGAAUCCCGCCAGAACAA